GAUGAACGCUGGCGGCGUGCCUAACACAUGCAAGUCGAGCGAGGGUUUGCUCAGUAUUGAGUAUUCUAACAACUAGAAUGUUCAAUUCUGAGCAAAACCAAGCGGCGGACGGGUGAGUAACGCGUGGGUAACCUGCCCUAUACACAUGGAUAACAUACUGAAAAGUUUACUAAUACAUGAUAAUAUAUAUUUGCGGCAUCGCAGAUAUAUCAAAGUGUUAGCGGUAUAGGAUGGACCCGCGUCUGAUUAGCUAGUUGGUGAGAUAACUGCCCACCAAGGCGACGAUCAGUAGCCGACCUGAGAGGGUGAUCGGCCACAUUGGAACUGAGACACGGUCCAAACUCCUACGGGAGGCAGCAGUGGGGAAUAUUGCACAAUGGGCGAAAGCCUGAUGCAGCAACGCCGCGUGAACGAUGAAGGUCUUCGGAUCGUAAAGUUCUGUUGCAGGGGAAGAUAAUGACGGUACCCUGUGAGGAAGCCCCGGCUAACUACGUGCCAGCAGCCGCGGUAAUACGUAGGGGGCUAGCGUUAUCCGGAUUUACUGGGCGUAAAGGGUGCGUAGGUGGUCCUUCAAGUCGGUGGUUAAAGGCUACGGCUCAACCGUAGUAAGCCGCCGAAACUGGAGGACUUGAGUGCAGGAGAGGAAAGUGGAAUUCCCAGUGNNGCGGUGAAAUGCGUAGAUAUUGGGAGGAACACCAGUAGCGAAGGCGGCUUUCUGGACUGCAACUGACACUGAGGCACGAAAGCGUGGGUAGCAAACAGG
rnacentral:rRNA from 1 species